AAGAUGGGAACGGUGCUGGUGGCUGACUGCAUUGAUCUGGAUUGGGAAGUUGUGUGGCAGAACGUCUCUCCACUUGGAUCUUGCCAUCACUCCACGAACACCGGGACAGACAGCUUUUUCUUCUGUGCUCUUUGGCCAACGCUCAACAGGAUCAUCACGAGAAGUUGCUGUGCAUGGCGCCCAAGGUCACCCUGGAUGCUGACAAGCAACUAACAGAUGGGGAGAGAGGAAGAGUGGAAAAGGCACGUGACCUUCUGAGAUUGGCCUGAGUGUGGCACACGCCCCUUCCACCAACAUUCCGCUGAUCUGUUUGAUGGCCACCACCACAACCGUGAGAUCAAACUGC